GAGCCAUAUAGAGUGAGAGUUGCGACAACUCCAUUGACUCCAAUGGAACGCUUUUUUUACAGCAAUGGCGGCUCGUGGAGCCUCUAAAUAGUUCCCGGAAGUAGCAGCAAACCGAUGCCGCGCCGUAGAGAUGCAGCAGAACAAACCGUUCGCGACGCACUUUUAAAAGACCCAGGUAACUGGCUGACGGUUCACUGGAAUGCUGACUGCUGCUGGCUGACUUGCUGCUGGUUGACUGGGCAGUGUCACCUGUCCCUGUCUCUCCUCUCUAGCCAUGUCCUUUUUCUUCACUCUCACUUUCCCUUCUCUGAGUGUCCUCGUUCUUUUUUCCUCAACCUUUGAAACUGAUAGAGGUCUAGGGGUGCAUCGUGGAGCAGGGCCCUCCUCUUUUUUGACCACAGGAUGAUGUACAAAGAUUGUGGGAAUAGCAUCUGACCUCAGCCUACUCUUGAAUUUUUUGGUCAUGACAAAUUGCUUUGCCGCAAUUUGUCUUGCAUACUGACUUCAGUUUAGUUUAUACACACACCUUUUUUUUUGUCUACCCACAUACAGUACAUAUCACAUGGUGGUUAAAUGCACAGUUAUAGGUAACACUGAUGACUCCCUGCAAUGUCUCACCCUGAGUCUCAGCUCCCUGGGUUUUGCAAGGGUUUGCUUGUUCCUUAUUUCUAGUAAAACAUUGUCAAUGUAAAAAAGUGCAAAUAAAUUUAAGUAUAAUUACCUAACAAUUUUUUGUUGUUGUAAUUUUUAUUAGUUUUUAGAUUGCUGACUUGAGCCAACCAUUAUUUUCUCCUCUCCAUGUCAGCGGGGAAGCCAUACAUUCGCACACCUUUCUCUGACUGAGUGGAGCAUCCCCAUGCAGCACAAUAAACCACGGUGGAGACUAUGCAAGGACAACAUUAAAGAAAGGACACAUACAAAAUGCUUGUCAUGCUAUUAAAUUUAUUAGAAAUGUAUUCAUGAAUUGCUGUAAAUAGUUUAUUGUAUAAUUACAAUUUAAAAUAACUGUUUUCUAUUUUAAAAUGGAAUAUACUCCUGUGAUGCCAACCUGAAUUUUCAGCAUCAUUACUUUUGAAUGGCAGUGUAACUUGCAUGUUUAUAUACGAGUAUGCUUAAGUUGUUUUAAACCUGAAUAUAUUGUGUACCUGAAUAAGUAUUGUAAGAAUUAUAAACAGUAAGCUUCAUUUUACAUUUAUUUAACAUGCUAAUUACUGCUGCUAACAGUUAAUUGACCCAUAGUGCGUAGCGAGCUGAAAAUCACCUGUCACCAGCCUGUCUCUGUACUACCUGAAAGUCAUCAAUAUGACAUGAGUUAACAUUAGAUCAGUGAAAAAAUGGACAAUAUGUAACGUAAAAAGGCAACAGCAACCCGUGUUUAUACAACUUAACAUUAACCUGAAAUACGUUUUUAAAAUAACGGUAAUUGAACACUAAUCCUCAAAUAUUACCCGAUUUGAUAUUUUAAAAACAACAUCGCUGUAACUACAUACUCAUGCUACAUACAUAUGUCAGAGUGUUGUAUAAAUAUAUAAAAUAAAUGCAUUUAUUGACUCCUUAUUACCAGAAAUCGCAGUUCUGUCACUCUACUCUAUCAGUUUGAAUGGCCGCCAACGCACUUCCUGGAACUAUUUGAAGUCUACACGAAUCACGUGACAACCAAACAUUUCGAACUUCCGUUG